UGCAUCUAACUUUCACCUUUCAUUUCUGAAUUUUCAUCUUCCUUCACCUUCGCUCACCUUCCCUCUUUGAAUUUUCAUCUACCUUCAUCUCUUCUUGAAUUGUCCGUUUCUUCAUGUCAUCUGUUGCUUUAUUUUAGGUGACUUGUUGAGCUUCUUCGGUCCUUAAUUUGUCCAUUUCUUGGCUGCAUUUCAGGGUUCUCAACAGCAGAGGUGCCGUUAGUAGUCAGCUUAUAUCACGAUAGUUUUGGCUAUGGUGCAGCCUGAAAUGGCAUUUGUUGUGAAUGGGCUAAUGCAAUGGUGAAGAAACAAGAAACAAACUAAACUAAUGCAAAGUAAACCACAAAACAGAGCACAACAAUGCAAGAAGCAAAAGACACAAUAUAUGAGCCUUGAAAAUUUUUAAAAAGUGGAGUGAGGAUAUGAUUCAUGGAAGGAAGAUUUCAACUCUGAUUAAAUUGGGGUGAACUUUACCGAAAAGUACGUGACUCACAGCUUGUAGGACUUUCAGGUUAGUCAAAGGAGGUAAUAGUGCUACCUUUGAUUCUACUCUGGUUGCAUUCUUCAUAAAAAAUGGCAUUGUUUUCUAAUGUUUGUGUUUGAUCUCAUAUGAAUUUCUUUUCGUUCAUAAUUUUAAUAAAAAUAAUACAUAAUAAGUUAUUCAUGUUUAUGGCUAUUUGGUGUUUGGUUGUGUUAAAACACCCAGCUCCAUUCCUAUGGAUAAGAACACAUGUAUUGAUUUAUAUGAAACUGGUUAAAUUGAGUCGGAUGUGAUAGAAAAGGAAAAAAAUUGAUUAGAGAGCUAAAUCAAACAGAGACAUUGAGAAAUCACUGUAGAAUGCUUUUUCUAGGCAUUUUCGCAUUUUUUUGCCUGCUUUUCCCAUCUUAUUGCUUUUCCCCAUCUUCUAACAUCUCUAAAAGCCUGCUUUUCGCCUUCAUUCGAUUCUUAUACUCGAUCAUCUCUCUAUUUUGGAUGCAAAUUAAAUCAGAUCUGCAAGGUAAUUUCUUCAAUCUAAUAAAUGUUUUCUUUGCGAAUUCUAUAGUAUAAUUUUCAGAAAUGAAACACAAUGAAAAAAUUUGUGUUGUGUAGAAUUUUAAUAUGGGUUUUGGACGGUUUUUGGAUUAUAUCAGAUCAUCUCUCCAUUUUGGAUGCAAAUUAUAUCAGAUCUGGAAGGUAAUUUCUUCAAUCUAAUAGAUGUUUUCUUUCCGGGAAAGUUGACAAUGGCGUGGUAUGAGCGGAAGUGAAAAGCAACAAAGAAAGAUGAGCAAAAGGUGGCGAAGAAAGAUGAGCAGAAGAUGGAACUCGUGGAAUAAUCUCAGGCAAUGGAGCAGUAAUGAUGUUCAGGGAUCUGUGUGCGUUGUCAAAAGAUUUGAUGCAGUAAUUCACUUUGCCGGACUUAGGCUGUGGGUGAAAGUGCUGCUCAUCCAUUUCGUUAUUUUGAUGAUAGUUUGAUUGGAUCAAUCAAUUAGUACCAAACAAUGGCCAAAUAUAAUUGUAAAAAGCUACAAUUUAUGGACAACCUAAGAAAACUCCAUGUGUAGAAGAUUUUGAAUUAAAGGGCUAUGAAUCCAUAGAGCCGCACCAAGCUUUUCCUUGAAGAAAUUGCCCGAGAAAUAUCAAAUGCAGACAAAGAAUGGAGCAUAAUAUGGCGAAGGUACUUCAGCCUCGUUGGGGCACACGAGAGUGUUGAAUUAUUACUUGAAUGGCGUUGAUAUUGAGACUUGAAGAUCAGAUCAAUCUCAUGCCUCAGCUUUUAUUUGCAGAAGAAUGUAUGGAUUGACCAUGUGAAUUGCUUUUUAUCUUUUCCUUGCGCUUUUGCCUUUUGGUUCACAUGAUUUGAUCUUUGGGUCACUAAUUUUAUCUUGGUGUUCCCUGAGGAAAAAGAUGGCAAUAUAAGUCGAAAAGAGUGCAUAUAUACUUUUAGAUAGUGUUGAAUUACAGGAAAUUGUCAUUGAAAAUAUGGGCAUGUAGAUAACUGAUAUAUACCUCCAUAGACAUUUCAAAUGUUUGAAAUUUCGACGAGUGAGUGAGAGUGACAACUUGAGGUUUGUUUGAAGCAAAAUGGUGCAAUUUUUCAACAUUAGCCUCUUAAACGAUCACUAUUCUAUUUAAGAGCAAGAGUGACAACUUUAGGUUUGUUUGAAGCAAAAUCGUUGGAUGUUUCUGAACACCUUUUAGCAUAACACCUUAAAACCUUUUUUUUAAUUUAAGAGCAAUAAUACACAAAAUGAUUUUGAGCACAACUUCCCCCCUCGCUCUAGAUCAAUUACAUGAUAAUAGAAUGGGAUGUAUUCACCUUACAUAACACUUAAAUUUUAUUUUUACUAUGUUCUAAAGUUAAAUUUAAGCCAUAAAUCUUAUUUUUUAAGAGAUGCUCUUACAUAAUAUAAAAAUUUAUCUUAUUACAUUUUCACUCCUUUCAUCCUUUAUAUCUUUGUAACACAUACUC